rnacentral:rRNA from 1 species
GACGAACGCUGGCGGCGUGCUUAACACAUGCAAGUCGAACGAAGAGCGAUGGACGCUUGCUUCUAUCAAUCUUAGUGGCGAACGGGUGAGUAACGCGUAAUCAACCUGCCCUUCAGAGGGGGACAACAGUUGGAAACGACUGCUAAUACCGCAUACGAUCUAAUCUCGGCAUCGAGGAUAGAUGAAAGGUGGCCUCUACAUGUAAGCUAUCACUGAAGGAGGGGAUUGCGUCUGAUUAGCUAGUUGGAGGGGUAACGGCCCACCAAGGCGAUGAUCAGUAGCCGGUCUGAGAGGAUGAACGGCCACAUUGGGACUGAGACACGGCCCAGACUCCUACGGGAGGCAGCAGUGGGGAAUCUUCCGCAAUGGACGAAAGUCUGACGGAGCAACGCCGCGUGAGUGAUGACGGCCUUCGGGUUGUAAAGCUCUGUUAAUCGGGACGAAAGGCCUUCUUGCGAAUAGUGAGAAGGAUUGACGGUACCGGAAUAGAAAGCCACGGCUAACUAUGUG